AAUUGGCAGUUGAAGAAAUGAACUUUGUGAGCCAAUCACUUCCCCGUACUUUUCCGCCGACAGUUUUGAAGAGUCCGACGGAUUUCUGGUUCCUACCUUUGCCUACCUGGGGAGUUGCUAAUAAAGUUGUCACUGUGAUCAGCAAUGGGGGAUAUGGGGAAAUAAGGAAAUGAUCCUCCUGGAAAUGAUUCCCUGGAUAAUGAUGGGACAUACACACUGACUGAGAAAGAAAUGGAAACUGGCUGGUGAGCCAACAAAGCCUUUCGAGGAUUCUGUUUUGAUGGAGAGGAAUACAAAUGAGCUGAAGCUACCUCAGAGAACACAGAGAAGAAGAGAAGGGGAGAAGGUGAAGAAGGAUGGCCGAUCUUGGGAAGAGGCUGAAGAAGAAGAUAGGAUCCAAGAUGGCCUCUCCCUCAGCGUCUCUCUCUCAGUGGCUCAUGUAAUUGAGCACCCUGAGGACGGCCUCAUUUUCACCUCUCUGGGUACCCUUCUCCCUCGGGACCAGCUUUCUUUGUUUCUCUGUGUCUUUUAAGACCUCAGGGUUUAUCCCACUCUCAGUUCAAGGUACCCACAGAGAUUAAAUUACAUUGCUGGAUCUCAAAUGUGAGCCCUCAGGCGACUCAAUUAACUGUGGCCGGUGGCACGUAUAUCCCAAACGUAUCUGCAGGGGAGAACUUCCUUGCAGUGGGAAAGAUCCCUGAAUGAAUGCUCAUCCUCACGUGGACGUUACAGAGUUGGCCCUCUCACCUAUGUUCUUGGCUUAAAGUAUUCCAUCCGGGUACCUUCAAGCAGCCAAAACUCUCUACCUUUUUCCAUUCCUCUGGAAAGAAAAACAAAACCAGCAAGAAAA